ACUAUAUAAUAGAACAUAUCGUUCAUUUUACUAUUUUACCUCCAUGAAUCCAUGAUUUGUAUUCUCCCACCACUAGUUAAGAGUAACAAACUCAAUCUCCGUAGUCCGAUCAUAGUUUAUACACGUGUUUUUGAAUUUAACAACGUGGUAUUCACGCAAGUAUAAAUCAAAUAUCAUAAAUAAAUUUAAUUUAAAAAAUUAGUAAAAUGAACAUCGAUACAAGUGACAGUGAUGGUAGCGGGGAUGAUUGGGAUGAAUUAAAAGAAGACGAAUUAAUAAAUAUUUCUUGUUUAUUUUGCAAAGAUGAGUUUCAAGGUUAUAACGAUGCUUUGAAUCACAUCAAGUUACAACAUCUAUUUGAUAUGCCAAAAUUAAUAAAGGAUUAUCAGUUAGAUGAUUAUUCUUUUAGAAAAUUUAUUAACUUUGUCAGACAGCAUAAAUUAACGCCAAAUGAUAUUGGGUCAAUUAAAUGUGAUACAUGGGAUAAUGAUAGAUAUCUAACACCCAUUAUUCCAGAUGAUGCUUGGUUGAUGUUCGAUAUUGAAGAAUUGGAUGACAACUUGAUCACAAAUCACCGUUCAAUCGAAGUAAUCGAAGAAGUUAAUGAACCUCAUACACCAAUAAACAAUGAAAGAUUAAAUUCUUACCCCGUCAAUGCUGAAAAUGGCUGUGUUACAUUAUCAGAACAGCAUUUCGUCGAGUUACAAAAAACAAUUAAGGAAUUGAAAUUACAAUUAAAACAACGUGAAGCAGCCUAUUUUUGUGCUAAAGAGCAAAUUGAAGAAAUGCAAAAAAAAGUACAAAAUCUAAUUAUUGAAGAUGAUGUAGAUAUACCUAAAAGAUUAUUGAAUAGUACAGGUGUGCUUAACGACGACGGCUAUUUCAAUACUUACAGCCAUUUUGCUAUUCAUCACGAAAUGCUGACGGAUACAGUGAGAACAGAAAGUUAUCGUGAUGCACUUUUAACCAAUUCUCAUUUGUUUAAUAAUUGUACGAUGCUAGAUGUCGGUUGUGGCACUGGUAUUUUGUCAAUGUUUGCUGCCAAAUCAGGAUGUAAAAAAAUCAUAAGUGUGGACCAAUCUGAUGUUAUUUAUCAUGCAAUGGAUAUCGUCAGAGAAAAUAAUUUGAAUGAUGUAAUUGAAUUGAAAAAGGGACGAUUAGAAGAUAUUAAUCUUGGAAUUGAUAAAGUUGAUGCAAUUGUAUCAGAAUGGAUGGGAUACUUUUUACUAUUUGAAGGAAUGUUGGAUACAGUGAUUUACGCCCGUGAUCAUCAUUUAAAAGCGGGCGGAAAAUUGUUACCUAAUCGUUGCACUCUAAGUGUAGUGGGUAGUGGUGACACGAAACGUUACAUCGACCUUGUAGAUUACUGGUCGAAUGUUUAUGGAUUUAAAAUGAGUUGUAUGAAAGCUAAAGUUGUCAAAGAGCCAAGUAUCGAAAUUUCUAAUGUUAAAGAUAUCGUUACAAACGUAUCGCUGAUUCAAAAUUUCGAUCUUUAUACAGUUGAUACGAAUUGCGUGAAUUUUACUGCGCCUUUUGAGUUUAAUAUAAAAAAAACUGGCUCACUUACUGCUAUUAUUGGAUAUUUUGAUGUUUUCUUCGAUCUUGACAAUCCAGUCAAGUUUAGUACGGGACCACAUAGUCAGCCUACUCAUUGGAAACAAACAGUCUUUUCCCUCAGUGAACCAAUCAGCAUUACCGAAGGUGAAGUAAUCAAUGGGAAACUGAUUUGUCAACGACAUCCAAAAGAUAAUCGUGCAUUAAUAAUUACUAUUGUAAUUAAAAAUCAUAGUCAAGUUUACUAUCUUGAUUAGUAAUAGUAUACAACUAUAUGAUUCGCAAUGAAGAUUAGUAUUUAACAAUUGAUAAUGAUUUUACAAUUCAUAAUUAUUAAAAUUAGAUUACACUACAACAAAGUUGGCUUCUUGAGCUAUAUUAUAUUGUUCCAGUAGUAACACCAAACUUUCAUGUCGACAUUCUGCCAAGCAUAAAUUAAUUUUAGGCUAAUGGUUCAGGGAACUAUUAGCGUAAACGAAACUAAACUACCAAAAAGUUUAAAUUUUGGUACAGAUUCGAUGAAAAUUAUUUUUUUUUUACUCAGACAAUCUCAAUUGAAAUGAAGGAAAAAUUUUUAAAUAUAAUUCAUAUUUUAGUUAUUACGCAUUAUUGUUACUGAGCUUCCUUUUUGACAAUCGAUAUUCUAGGUUAUUAUUGAAUAUUCUAAUGUAAUAAUUAAAAUAGUAUAAAUUUUUCGCUCAUUUGAGCUUCAGCACAAUUUUUCUAGCCUUGU
rnacentral:misc_RNA from 1 species